rnacentral:rRNA from 1 species
AGCGAACGCUAGCGGCGGGCCUAACACAUGCAAGUCGAGCGGGGGAGCAAUCCCCAGCGGCGGACGGGUGAGUAACACGUAGGUUAUGUGCCCUUUGGUGGGGAAUAACCGUGGGAAACCAUGGCUAAUUCCGCAUAUCGAGCGAAAUCUUGAAAGCCUUCGGGCGCCAAAGGAGCAACCUGCGGCCCAUUAGCUUGUUGGUAGGGUAACGGCCUACCAAGGCGAUGAUGGGUAGCUGGUCUGAGAGGAUGAUCAGCCACACUGGAACUGAGACACGGUCCAGACUCCUACGGGAGGCAGCAGUGGGGAAUAUUGCGCAAUGGGCGAAAGCCUGACGCAGCCACGUCGCGUGAGUGAUGAAGGCCUU